UACGUAGGGACCGAGCGUUGUCCGGAAUCAUUGGGCGUAAAGAGCGUGUAGGCGGCCUUUUAAGUCCUGCGUGAAAUCCUGCGGCUCAACCGCAGACGGUCGUGGGAAACUGGAAGGCUAGAGUGCGGGAGAGGAGAGUGGAAUUCCCGGUGUAGCGGUGAAAUGCGCAGAUAUCAGGAGGAACACCGGUGGCGAAGGCGGGUCUCUGGGCCGAUAUUGACGCUGAGGAGCGAAAGCGUGGGGAGCGAACAGG
rnacentral:rRNA from 1 species